GGGUCCGCAGUUCACCCAGGCGUCACCAGCCGAAAGGCCAGCUAAACCUGCCG
rfam:Rhodobacterales bacterium 65-51 scnpilot_p_inoc_scaffold_22, whole genome shotgun sequence.